AUGUGUUCUGGGCAGGGUAAGACAUCUCUUCUUUCUUUAUAACUAAAAAUAUUUUUAUUAAUUAAAUUUAUUCUUUGACAAUCUCGACUGCAUAAUUUGUGGUAGUGGGGGACUGCGUUCGCGCUCUCCCCUG
rnacentral:snRNA from 1 species